rnacentral:rRNA from 1 species
UACGUAGGGUGCAAGCGUUGUCCGGAAUUAUUGGGCGUAAAGAGCUCGUAGGUGGUUUGUCGCGUUGUUCGUGAAAACUCACAGCUCAACUGUGGGCGUGCGGGCGAUACGGGCAGACUAGAGUACUGCAGGGGAGACUGGAAUUCCUGGUGUAGCGGUGAAAUGCGCAGAUAUCAGGAGGAACACCGAUGGCGAAGGCAGGUCUCUGGGCCACUACUGACGCUGAGAAGCGAAAGCAUGGGGAGCGAACAGG